GCUUCUCGGAAGGGAGGAUUCCGUGGCGGCGAUUGACGAAGAAAGGGACGAUCGGGUUGGGGCUGAGGCGGCGGAUCGUGAAGACGGUGACGAAUCGGGUCGAGGAGAGAUCGGAUUGGGGAUCGAGGUUAGGGUUUUCUGGGGUUAUGGAGAGGGAGUAGGAGGAGAUGAGGAAGGUUUUGCAGGGACGUGCGGAGGUGGUGGAGAUUGAGAGGGAGGAGAUGGUGAUCGCGAGGAGGAGGAGGAGGAGGAGGUGAGAGGACGACGCCAUUGUUGUGUGUUGUCUUUGACUUCUUCUUCUUCUUUGGGAUAAAAGACGAUAUGCCAGAAGAUUCGGUGAAGAUAUUAUUAAUAAGCCCCUCUAUUAUUG
rnacentral:lncRNA from 1 species